rnacentral:tRNA from 1 species
GGGAAUGUAGCUUAGAGGUAGAGUGCUUGCCUAGCAUGUAUGAAGUCCUGGGUUCAAUUCCCUAGUACCA